UACGAAGGGUGCAAGCGUUAAUCGGAAUUACUGGGCGUAAAGCGUGCGCAGGCGGUUAUAUAAGACAGAUGUGAAAUCCCCGGGCUCAACCUGGGAACUGCAUUUGUGACUGCAAGGCUAGAGUACGGCAGAGGGGGAUGGAAUUCCGCGUGUAGCAGUGAAAUGCGUAGAUAUGCGGAGGAACACCAAUGGCGAAGGCAAUCCCCUGGGCCUGUACUGACGCUCAUGCACGAAAGCGUGGGGAGCAAACAGG
rnacentral:rRNA from 1 species